GCGAGGGCUUCACCGCCUAUCAAGUCUUGACAAACUCCGAAUACUAUCACUUGAUCUUUGGGAGUGAGGGCAUGGGUGCUAAGGUCCAUGUCCGAAAGAGGAACAACUCAGACCACCAGCUAAGGUCCCGAAAUAAGGGCUAAGUUGAAUAAACGAAGUAAAACUGCAAAGACAGCUAGGAUGUUGGCUUGGAAGCAGCCAUUCAUUUAAAGAGUGCGUAACAGCUCACUAGUCGAGGAGUUUUGCAUGGAUAAUAAUCGGGCAUAAGCCCUUUACCGAAGCUGUGGAUGUCGUAAGACAUGGUAGGGGAGCAUUCCGGCGGCGACGAAGGCCGUCCUCGAGGACGACUGGAGCUUUCGGAAAAGCAAAUGUAGGUAUAAGUAACGAUAAAGGGGGCGUGAAACCCCCUCGCCAUAAGACUAAGGAUUCCUGAUCAACGCUAAUCGGAUCAGGGUAAGUCGGGCCCUAAGGCGCAGCCGAACGGCGUAGCCGAUGGAAGAAACGGUAAAGAUUCCGUUACUGGAUAUAGGAGCGAUGUGGAGACGGAGAAGUGACACACCCGCCUGCCGACGGAAGCGCAGGUUAAAGGAAGUAGGUAAACGCCGGGUAGGCAAAUCCGCCUGGCGUGCCGAAACUGACAGUAUCGAGAGCCCCCGGGCAAUCGAAUAGCGGUGGUAAUCAGGCUCCCAAGAAAAUCCGCUAAGCAUAUUCUAUAUCCACCCGUACCCCAAACGGACACACGUAGUCGGGUAGAAUAUACCAAGGCGCUCGAAAGACUCACGGUUAAGGAACUAGGCAAAUUGACCCUGUAACCUCGGGAAAAAGGGUCCCCAGUAAGAUGGGGCGCAGAGAAUAGGUCCAGGCAACUGUUUAACAAAAACACAGGGCUGUGCGAAAUUUCAAGAUGAAGUAUACAGCCUGACACCUGCCCGGUGCCGGAAGGUUAAGAGGAGAGCUAAUCGCAAGAGAAGGCUUGAAUUGAAGCCCCGGUAAACGGCGGCCGUAACUAUAACGGUCCUAAGGUAGCGAAAUUCCUUGUCGGGUAAGUUCCGACCUGCACGAAUGGUGUAAUGAUCUGGACACUGUCUCAACCGUGACUUCGGUGAAAUUGUAGUAUCGGUGAAGAUGCCGAUUACCCGCAACGGGACGAAAAGACCCCGUGAACCUUUACUGCAACUUAGCAUUGCGUUUGGGCAUUUGAUGUGUAGGAUAGUCCGGAGGCUACGAGUCGGCGACGCCAGUCGUCGAGGAGCCGCUGUUGAAAUACGGACCUUCGAAUGUUUGAGCGCUAACUCGCAGGAGCGAGGACACUGUUUGGUGGGUAGUUUGACUGGGGUGGUCGCCUCCAAAAGCGUAACGGAGGCUUCUAAAGGUACCCUCAGACCGAUUGGUAACCGGUCGGAGAGUGUAAUGGCACAAGGGUGCUUGACUGAGAGACCCACAAGUCGAUCAGGUAGGAAACUAGAGCAUAGUGAUCCGGUG
rnacentral:rRNA from 1 species